GAUCCUGCCAGUAGUCAUAUGCWGUCUCAAAGAUUAAGCCAUGCAUGUGUAAGUAUGA
rnacentral:rRNA from 1 species